GACAUUGACUUUAAUUCACAUGCUGGUUACCUCACAGUUAUAGGAUGGUUGCUGCAGCUCCUGGUGGUGUAACAUCAUUCCAGGCAGGAAGAAGGUGAUGUCAUUGAACUCUUAAGUGCAAGAUGAAACAAGUCUUUCUGGGGUUCUAAGUAGAAAUGCAUAUGUAUCUUUGGAAGAAACUCUGAAGUAAAGGCCGGAAUAUUCUUUGUUUAAAACAUUAAAAACAAAACAGACCAAAGCAUCAAGCAAGAAGUUUCCUGGCAAUAAACUAAGCACAGCAUUAUUUUUUAAGGAACACAAAUUAAGUGUUCAACCUGUGGCAAAUUUGUACUUUCUCC
rnacentral:lncRNA from 1 species